CAAAUACAUUGUGGUAAAUUUUGCAGGUUGAAAAAUUAAAUGUCUUGGCAUCCUCCCUUGCCAAUUCAUCCUCCAAGGGAUAGAAGCGUAUUUUGGAUCACAGGAGUUGACUGCUGAGAUUUCUGAAUUGGAGAAGCAAAAGAAUGAACUCGAGGCUCGGCUGAAGAAGGUCAACAUUUCACUGAAUGCUGCUGUUAGGCGGCUCAAGCUAACAAGGGAAGAGAGGGAUCAGUUUGAUGAAGCAAACAACGAGAUGAUCUUUAGUUUAAAAGCAAAGAGGGCGCUGCCUCUCACAACGGCUUGAUAUCUAUCAAGCGGUAUUAUGUACUAGUAGCAUGGCUGAACCCAGAAAACGGUGCUAUGAGGGGACAAACGGGGAAUUAAUUAGCGUAAACCAUCUGGGGACGACCCAACCAAUCCGGCGCGUACAUGAGUGUGAUCUGACGGCUAAGAGUCCCAAAUCGCUGUGGAUGCUCCUAGUGAUGAUGCUCGCCGGUUCAUGAAACACCUUUGUCCUGAUCUCUGAGUUGGUAAUGUCCUUGUGAAUUAGUUAGUUUCACAUUCAACACUGGUUAAAAAUGUGAAAAGAUGGUGCUAAAACCCCCUGUUUUUUUUACAUCAAUUCAGAAUUACUGGAGAGAUCCUAUGGAGUCGAUUGCUGUCUGUAUGUUCCAGAAAACCCUAAAAAUAAGUUCGUAAAUAUU